GGCAGUAUGGUUCAGUGUUAGAGCAGGUGCUUCAUGUGCAUGAGGCCCUGGGUUCAAUCCCCAGGGCCUCCU
rnacentral:tRNA from 1 species